rnacentral:rRNA from 1 species
GUCUACGGCCAUGCCACCCUGAAACAAGCCACAUCCCGUCUGAUCUUGGAAGCUAAGCAGGGUCAGGCCUGGAUAGGAGACCACCUAGGAAGACCAGGUGCAGUAGGCA